rnacentral:rRNA from 1 species
AUGCCUUACACAUGCAAGUCGAACGGCGAGCACGGGGGCGAACCCUGGUGGCGAGUGGCGAACGGGUGAGUAAAGCAUCGGAACGUGCCCUGGAGUGGGGGAUAACGUAGCGAAAGUUACGCUAAUACCGCAUAUUCUGUGAGCAGGAAAGCAGGGGAUCGCAAGACCUUGCGCUCUGGGAGCGGCCGAUGUCGGAUUAGCUAGUUGGUGAGGUAAAGGCUCACCAAGGCGACGAUCCGUAGCGGGUCUGAGAGGAUGAUCCGCCACACUGGGACUGAGACACGGCCCAGACUCCUACGGGAGGCAGCAGUGGGGAAUUUUGGACAAUGGGCGCAAGCCUGAUCCAGCCAUGCCGCGUGAGUGAAGAAGGCCUUCGGGUUGUAAAGCUCUUUCGGUGGGGAAGAAAUUGCUUCGGUUAAUACCUGGAGUAGAUGACGGUACCCGCAUAAGAAGCACCGGCUAACUACGUG